rnacentral:rRNA from 1 species
GACGAACGCUGGCGGCGUGCUUAACACAUGCAAGUCGAACGGAAAGGCCCUGCUUGCAGGGUACUCGAGUGGCGAACGGGUGAGUAACACGUGGGUGAUCUGCCCUGCACUUCGGGAUAAGCCUGGGAAACUGGGUCUAAUACCGGAUAGGAGCCAUUUUUAGUGUGAUGGUUGGAAAGUUUUUUUCGGUGUAGGAUGAGCUCGCGGCCUAUCAGCUUGUUGGUGGGGUAAUGGCCUACCAAGGCGGCGACGGGUAGCCGGCCUGAGAGGGUGGACGGCCACAUUGGGACUGAGAUACGGCCCAGACUCCUACGGGAGGCAGCAGUGGGGAAUAUUGCACAAUGGGCGCAAGCCUGAUGCAGCGACGCCGCGUGGGGGAUAACGGCCUUCGGGUUGUAAACUCCUUUCGCUAGGGACGAAGCUUUUUGUGACGGUACCUAGAUAAGAAGCACCGGCUAACUACGUG